rnacentral:rRNA from 1 species
GACGAACCGUCCAACCGUUGUUCGGAAUCACUGGGCUUAAAGGGCGCGUAGGCGGGCUGCCAAGUCCGGGGUGAAAUCCUCCAGCUCAACUGGAGAACUGCCUCGGAUACUGGAAGUCUCGAGGAGGGUAGGGGCAUGCGGAACCGUGGGUGGAGCGGUGAAAUGCGUCGAUAUCCAUGGGAACUCCGGUGGCGAAGGCGGCAUGCUGGACCUUUUCUGACGCUGAGGCUCGAAAGCCAGGGGAGCAAACGGG